UACAGAGGGGGCAAGCGUUGUUCGGAACUACUGGGCGUAAAGGGCGCGUAGGCGGCCUUCUAAGUCGAACGUGAAAUCCCCGGGCUCAACCCGGGAACUGCGUCCGAUACUGGAAGGCUUGAAUCCGGGAGAGGGAUGCGGAAUUCCAGGUGUAGCGGUGAAAUGCGUAGAUAUCUGGAGGAACACCGGUGGCGAAGGCGGCAUCCUGGACCGGCAUUGACGCUGAGGCGCGAAAGCCAGGGGAGCAAACGGG
rnacentral:rRNA from 1 species